CGGGUACUGCCUCGUACGUUAGAAACCGGAUGCCCAGGGGCCGUAAUCAUACCUCAUAGGGUGCUGUCCCUGGCCAGGACCGUGGUCUUGGCCAAAUGGUGCCCACCUGCGAAAGCAGGCCACUGAGGAUCCAACUUCGACGGCGUUCGCGGUCCCGUC
rnacentral:other from 1 species